AUAGUGGAGGAGGAGAUUUUUUGGUUGACUGUCAGGUGUGGGGGUGAGUCAGGCCCAUCAAAUCAUCACUGGUCUGAGAAGACUAGGCUUUGGGUAAGGAGAUUCUACAAGUCUGGCUAAAAUGGAAAGUGUACUCUCAAGAGGACGGAAAUGGGUACAGUCUUGUACAAUGUUUUCAAAUCACACAAUGUUUUUCACUUCUUGUCAUGGUCACUGAAACCUCCAUCAGUAUCAGGCUAUAUACUUGGACAGAUGGGUGACGGAUGUUCACGGUCGGGUGACUUCACUGGAUUUGGUGAUGACACCCUUAGCAACCAUCCCCUCCCCAAACCUGCAAUUAAAGUUGCAUCUCUGCUGACAUGGUAAUGGUGGGCUGUCAGCUCGGACAAUGCUGCAGAUAGCAGACAACACAGCUCAGAUUUUAAUGGCAAGAAAUGGAUCACCUGCUAAUCCUUCAGAGAGAAACAGCUCCAUGAAUGCUACUGCAAAAUAGAUUAUUUUAUUUUGGUGUCGAUUUUUUGUUGGUAGGAGGGUUAAUGGGGUAAAUCUUUUGUAAUGACUUUGUAAGGUGAUGAGAUCUAUUUUCUAACAAACAAAAAGUAUGUAGAUUUACUUUUGGUAAGGGAUAUUUUGAUAUAAAG